rnacentral:rRNA from 2 species
GAUGAACGCUGGCGGCGUGCCUAAUACAUGCAAGUCGAACGAGUUCUGAUUAUUGAAGGGUGCUUGCAUCUUGAUUUAAUUUUGAACGAGUGGCGGACGGGUGAGUAACACGUGGGUAACCUGCCCUUAAGUGGGGGAUAACAUUUGGAAACAGAUGCUAAUACCGCAUAAAUCCAAGAACCGCAUGGUUCUUGGCUGAAAGAUGGCGUAAGCCAUCGCUUUUGGAUGGACCCGCGGCGUAUUAGCUAGUUGGUGAGGUAACGGCUCACCAAGGCAAUGAUACGUAGCCGAACUGAGAGGUUGAUCGGCCACAUUGGGACUGAGACACGGCCCAAACUCCUACGGGAGGCAGCAGUAGGGAAUCUUCCACAAUGGACGCAAGUCUGAUGGAGCAACGCCGCCUGAGUGAAGAAGGCUUUCGGGUCGUAAAACUCUGUUGUGGAGAAGAAUGUCGGCAGAGUAACUG